rnacentral:rRNA from 1 species
AGUGAACGCUGGCGGCGUGCCUAAUACAUGCAAGUCGAACGAAGUGGCGCACGGGUGAGUAAUAUAUAGUUAAUCUGCCCUACACAGAGGAACAACAGUUGGAAACGGCGGCUAAUACCUCAUAGUGUAGGCUGAGACUAUAUCGUAUCAGCUAGUUGGUAAGGUAAUGGCUUACCAAGGCGAUGACGCGUAACUGGUCUGAGAGGAUGAUCAGUCAAAUUGGAAGUGAGACACGGGCCAAACUCCUACGGGAGGGAGCAGGAAGGAAUAGUGCGCAAGGGGGGAGACUCAGACGCAGCAACGCGGCGUGGAGGAUGACACGUUACGGAGCGUAAACUCCUUUUAACAGGAAAGCGGUACCUGAUGAAUAAGCACCGGCUAACUCCGUGCCAGCAGCCGCGGUAAUAC